GGGUGCUUCCCUUUUGCGUGGCUACUGGCGAACGGGUGAGUAAUACAUCGGAACAUGUCCUGUAGUGGGGGAUAGCCCGGCGAAAGCCGGAUUAAUACCGCAUACGAUCUAUGGAUGAAAGCGGGGGACCUUCGGGCCUCGCGCUAUAGGGUUGGCCGAUGCUGAUUAGCUAGUUGGUGGGGUAAAGGCCUACCAAGGCGACGAUCAGUAGCUGGUCUGAGAGGACGACCAGCCACACUGGGACUGAGACACGGCCCAGACUCCUACGGGAGGCAGCAGUGGGGAAUUUUGGACAAUGGGCGAAAGCCUGAUCCAGCAAUGCCGCGUGUGUGAAGAAGGCCUUCGGGUUGUAAAGCACUUUUGUCCGGAAAGAAAUCCUUGGCUCUAAUACAGUCGGGGGAUGACGGUACCGGAAGAAUAAGCACCGGUAACUACGUGCCACAGCCCGGUAAUACUAGGGGGCAAGCGUUAAUCCGGAAUUACUGGGCGUAAAGCGUGCGCAGGCGGUUUGCUAAAACCGAUGUGAAAUCCCCGAGCUCAACCUGGGAACUGCUUUGGUGACUGGAAGGCUAAAUUAUGGG
rnacentral:rRNA from 1 species